GCAAUAGCUACUUGCAUCAUUGAAAAUAUGAUGCAAGAUCGACUAUGUCGAAUAAAAUUCUAGGUAGAAUUAUGAUAAUGACAUUGUCUGCCUAUGUGUCUUGACCAAAUUACGUGCCAGCAGUCGCGGUAAUACGUAGAAGACUAGUGUUAUUCAUGUUUAAUCGGUUUAAAGGGUACCUAGACGGUAAAUCAAGCCUAAAAGGAAGGUAAUAAAGGGACUAAUUUACUAGAGUUACUUAUGAGGGGGUAUUAAAGUACUGCUGGUGUAGAGAUGAAAUUCUGUCAUACCUCUUUUCAAUAGAAAAAUAAUGGCACAGGUAUAGGCGAAAGCAUCCCCUUAUGUGAUAACUGACGUUGAGGGACGAAGGCUUUGUGUAGCGAACAGGAUUAGAUACCCCAGUAGUCAAAGCAGAAAAUGAUGAAUGUCAUAGAUUAGAUAUAUAAGUUUAUUCUAUAAAUGAAAGUGUAAGCAUUCCACCUCAAGAGUAAUUUGGCAACAUUGGAACUGAAAUCAUUAGACCGUUUCUGAAACCAGUAGUGAAGUAUGUUGUUUAAUUUGAUGAUCCGCAAAAAACCUUACCACAAUUUGAAUAUUUAUAUCUUUUAUUGUUUUUCUUUUUAACUUUCUUCUGAUUUUCUACUUAAAAGAAAACAAUAACAAGAAAAAAGAGGCAAUAAGACAAAA
rnacentral:rRNA from 1 species